rnacentral:rRNA from 1 species
GACGAACGCUGGCGGCGUGCUUAACACAUGCAAGUCGAACGGAAAGGCCCUGCUUUUGUGGGGUGCUCGAGUGGCGAACGGGUGAGUAACACGUGAGUAACCUGCCCUUGACUUUGGGAUAACUUCAGGAAACUGGGGCUAAUACCGGAUAGGAGCUCCUGCUGCAUGGUGGGGGUUGGAAAGUUUCGGCGGUUGGGGAUGGACUCGCGGCUUAUCAGCUUGUUGGUGGGGUAGUGGCUUACCAAGGCUUUGACGGGUAGCCGGCCUGAGAGGGUGACCGGCCACAUUGGGACUGGGAUACGGCCCAGACUCCUACGGGAGGCAGCGGUGGGGAAUAUUGCACAAUGGGCGGAGGCCUGAUGCAGCAACGCCGCGUGCGGGAUGACGGCCUUCGGGUUGUAAACCGCUUCCGCCUGUGACGAAGCGUGAGUGACGGUAAUGGGUAAAGAAGCACCGGCUAACUACGUG